rnacentral:snoRNA from 1 species
AUAACAAUUUGUGAUGCUUUAGGGAGCCUAUUGUUUGAUGGUUUAUAGGAGCCAGAUUUGUCUUUUUGACUAAUUUUCAACCUAUUCUUACUUCCAAAACUGUUGCAAUGGCUCUCGUUUUUGUUAAAAUUUUUCUCUUUUUCUCUUCUUUGGCAUAGUUUAUUUUUAAUAAAUUAUUUCAGGGUGAGAUAGAGAAAGAAUAAUGAGUAUCGUAGAUAAAUCUUCGGUUCCGAAUAGUGUAACUGUUGGUGCUGAGGUAAUCCAUCUUUAAAACCAUCGCCGUUAGAGGUUGCUUCUGAUAUUUUCGGUUAAGCGACCCAUGAAAUGGUGAUGACCUGAGGUAUGGAACAUCU